rnacentral:lncRNA from 1 species
AAAAGUGAAAAUGUUGUGUCGUGGGAAAAUAGUUGGGAUAUAGCGAACUAGUGCAAGCAGGUACACGGAAAAUCCCUUAUUAGCCACUUCAUGCCAAUCAUUGUCGUCCGCGUGGCACGCUUCUUCAACUUUGGUGUUGAUUUUCCGCAUGCAACAAUUAAUUUGCGAAACGUCAACCGGUCUCUACGAGCAUAACUACAACGAAUCCCUAUCACUCGUGUAAGCACGAGAUAUCCUGCUUUCUUGUGCAUAACUCAACAUUGUGCUCCACUGCUCCUUUCCUUCCAGUGAAUCUAGAGCAUAUAUGUGGGCUCUCCCUCGGUAUUCCUUCUCAUCAUCGCGUGGGAACCAAUCUGGUCACGACACGUCAGCGCAUCAUAGGCAAAUUAUUUUUUCCUUCUCGCAGGAGUCUCAGUCCUGUGUGGUCCCCGCAAGGUUCUCUUUCCCAGCGAAUGUAGUCGAUCGCCCACGUGAUUCUACCUUCAAGUACAGCAUCCAUUCUUCUCUUAUUUUACUACUAGGUAUUUGCAUUUGGAUGUAUAUGCGUACAUAUAUUAAUGGUUGGUAAUUCCAUUCUAGAUUAGGCAAUAUUUCAGAGUUUAGAAUCUGUUCGAUGAAAU